AAAAAGAACAUGAAAGGGGUGAAUGAAAAACAAAGCAUGUCAACAAAACGAAGGCCCCAUAAGAUGGAAGGAUUAAAACUUGCAAAAGGAGGUCAGCGAGGCAACGGUAAGCAAGGGGAAAGCCACGUGAUGUGUGUAUCUAAGUUCGAACUUUUGCCCAAGUCUACCGCAAGACACGAGGAGUGGGAGCGUAAAAAAGUGAGAGCAAGGAGCAGGAAGAAUGCAAGAAAGUGGAAGUAAAAAUAUUAUUGGGUUGGAUUAGUUAAAUGCAAAUGCAAGAGAGGAAUGAAGAGCAGAGGAAGCGACCUAGCGUGUGAGAGCAGCAUUGUAAAAAUGGAAAAAAUUAAUGGAUUAGGUAUUAUUUUUUGUUUCAUUUUUGGAUUGCCUUAAUAUUUUUCUUUUUAUUAUCUUUUUUCUUUAAUUAAUCAAUCCAAAUAAAUGUUGUUAUUUUUUUUUUUUAA